AGAAGAAUUUCCAAGGUUUCUAGUGCAGCUAUUUUAACACAGAGUGGUGUGAACAUUCUAACAUCUCCUGGAGUUUCAGGGGUCAUUCCCUUCGAUGAAGUUGGCAUGGAAGAGGUUUUCAUUUUCUUUGGGCUGAUUGCUGCUUUCUCCAAACCCGAGGCAUGUGAAUUUUGUAUUUGUGGUUCUUGCUUCCUCUUCUUGGAGUAACUUUUUGACGAAGAUUCACUAGUCCCUUUUGAUGGAUUUGUGCUGAAUAGAGUCAUUUCUUUUACACAAUUAUCAUCCAGAUCACCAACUGCAUUGCUGACUAUUACCUCUAACAAAUGGAGAGACAUUCC
rnacentral:rRNA from 1 species